AAUAAAACUUGAAAAUCCCAAAAUUGUUUGUGUUACAAAAUAUUAAAUAAGAAUUUCGACAAAAAAAAAUUAAAGUGAAAAAAAUAAAAAAUUGAAAAUCCCAAAAUUAUUUGUGCUAAAAAAAUAUUAAAUUUCAACAAAAAAAAAGUGAAAAAAAUUUUUUUUUAAAUAUUUGCAUCUAGUGUGCCUUGAUUUUGGAUUAGAAAUACAAGAGCUUAUAAAUUUCUAGUUAUUAAAUAGAGGGCUCAAUCAGAAAAAAGAUAAUUCGGAACUCCAACUUAUUUAAAAUACAUGGUUGGAGAUGCCUCUUUCUGUUACAUACAUUUCCUGCCGGCAGAAACUUAUAAUGCAGGUAUAAUAACAAACUGCAAUAAGUUAGUUACAAACCAAUAUUUAUUUUCGAAAUCAGUUGAAUGAUCAAUCAGCUGUCACUGAAAAAAACUACAAUGCAAUGCAAAUAAGCGGCAUUAAAAAUAUGAAAUAUCAAAUUAAUCUUUAUUAUACAUUUUAAGUAUUCAGUAUGAA